UUCGCAAUGCCCGAAAGGGUGACGAAGCGACGCCGCGUGGGUGAGGAAGGCCCUCGGGUUGUAAAGCCCUGUCAGGAGUUAAGAAAUGUAGAUACGCUAAUAUCGUAUCUAUUUGACAAAGGCUCCAAAGGAAGCCACGGCUAACUCUGUGCCAGCAGCCGCGGUAAUACAGAGGUGGCAAGCGUUGUUCGGAAUUAUUGGGCGUAAAGAGCACGUAGGUGGGUUUGCAAGUCAGAUGUGAAAGCCUUCUGUUCGACGGAAGAAUUGCAUCUGAAACUGCUAAUCUUGAGUAUAGGAGGGGAGAAUGGAACUUCUGGUGGAGCGGUGAAAUGCGUAGAUAUCAGAAGGAACGCCGGCGGCGAAAGCGAUUCUCUGGCCGAUUACUGACACUCAGUGUGCGAAAGCUAGGGGAGCAAACGGGAUUAGAUACCCCGGUAGUCCUAGCCGUAAACGAUGGGCACUAAGUAGAGGGGUUUU
rnacentral:rRNA from 1 species